UGGGAGAUCAUCUAAUGGUAGGAUUCACCCCUCUGGAGGGUGUCAUCUUGGUUCGAAUCCAAGUCUCCCAG
rnacentral:tRNA from 1 species